UACGUAGGGUGCGAGCGUUAAUCGGAAUUACUGGGCGUAAAGCGUGCGCAGGCGGUUUUGUAAGCCGGAUGUGAAGUCCCCGGGCUUAACCUGGGAAUGGCAUUCGGGACUGCAAGGCUGGAGUGCGGCAGAGGAGACUGGAAUUCCUGGUGUAGCAGUGAAAUGCGUAGAUAUCAGGAGGAACACCGAUGGCGAAGGCAGGUCUCUGGGCCGAUACUGACGCUGAGGAGCGAAAGCGUGGGGAGCGAACAGG
rnacentral:rRNA from 1 species